CGGACGGGUGAGUAACGCGUGAGAAUCUGCCCUCAGGAGGGGGAUAACAGUUGGAAACGACUGCUAAUACCCCAUAUGCCGAGAGGUGAAACGAAUUUCGCCUGGGGAUGAGCUCGCGUCUGAUUAGCUUGUUGGUGGGGUAAAGGCCUACCAAGGCUUCGAUCAGUAGCUGGUCUGAGAGGACGAUCAGCCACACUGGGACUGAGACACGGCCCAGACUCCUACGGGAGGCAGCAGUGGGGAAUUUUCCGCAAUGGGCGCAAGCCUGACGGAGCAACGCCGCGUGAGGGAUGAAGGCCUUUGGGCUGUAAACCUCUUUUCUCAAGGAAGAACAUCUGACGGUACUUGAGGAAUAAGCCACGGCUAAUUCCGUGCCAGCAGCCGCGUUAAUACGGGAGUGGCAAGCGUUAUCCGGAAUUAUUGGGCGUAAAGCGUCCGCAGGCGGCCGUUUAAGUCUGUUGUUAAAUCGUGGAGCUCAACUCCAUCACGGCAAUGGAAACUGUUCGGCUUGAGUAUGGUAGGGGCAGAGGGAAUUUCCGGUGUAGCGGUGAAAUGCGUAGAUAUCGGGAAGAACACCAGUGGCGAAAGCGCUCUGCUAGGCCAUUACUGACGCUCAUGGACGAAAGCCAGGGGAGCGAAAGGGAUUAGAUACCCCUGUAGUC
rnacentral:rRNA from 1 species